UACGAAGGGGGCUAGCGUUGUUCGGAUUUACUGGGCGUAAAGCGCACGUAGGCGGAUCGAUCAGUCAGGGGUGAAAUCCCAGGGCUCAACCCUGGAACUGCCUUUGAUACUGUCGAUCUGGAGUAUGGAAGAGGUGAGUGGAAUUCCGAGUGUAGAGGUGAAAUUCGUAGAUAUUCGGAGGAACACCAGUGGCGAAGGCGGCUCACUGGUCCAGUACUGACGCUGAGGUGCGAAAGCGUGGGGAGCAAACAGG
rnacentral:rRNA from 1 species